CGCACCUUGCACUCUUUGGUAUUCCGAAGAGUAUGUCUGUUUGAGUGUCAUGAAACUCUCAACCCCCCUGUUUUGUAAUGAAACGGGCGUGGGCUUGGAUUAUGGCUGGUUGUCGGCGUCAUUGCCGGCUCAGCUGAAAUACACGAGCAACCCAUUUGAAAUAGACGGUUUGACUCGGCGUAAUAAUUAUUUCGCUGAGGACGUCUUCUUUAAAGUUAGCGGUGCUUCUAAUGCGCUUUUUAAUUAAAGCAUCUUAAGCUUUAGACCUCAAAUCAGUCAGGACUACCCGCUGAACUUAA
rnacentral:misc_RNA from 1 species